rnacentral:rRNA from 1 species
CGCUGGCGGCGUGCCUAAUACAUGCAAGUCGAACGGCUUUUCUAUGGAAGCUUGCUUCCACUGAGAAGAUAGUGGCGAACGGGUGAGUAACACGUGGGUAACCUGCCCAUAAGAGGGGGAUAACAUCCGGAAACGGGUGCUAAUACCGCAUAGUUUUCUUGAUCGCAUGAUCGGGAAAGGAAAGACGGCCUUUGUGCUGUCGCUUAUGGAUGGACCCGCGGCGUAUUAGUUAGUUGGUGAGGUAACGGCUCACCAAGACGAUGAUACGUAGCCGACCUGAGAGGGUGAUCGGCCACAUUGGGACUGAGACACGGCCCAAACUCCUACGGGAGGCAGCAGUAGGGAAUCUUCCGCAAUGGACGAAAGUCUGACGGAGCAACGCCGCGUGAGUGAAGAAGGUUUUCGGAAUCGUAAAACUCUGUUGUCAGAGAAGAACAAGUUGGAGAGUAACUGCUCCAGCCUUGACGGUAUCUGACCAGAAAGCCACGGCUAACUACGUGCCAGCAGCAGC